rnacentral:rRNA from 1 species
GAUGAACGCUGGCGGCGUGCCUAAUACAUGCAAGUCGAACGGCAGCAUAGGAGCUUGCUCCUGAUGGCGAGUGGCGAACGGGUGAGUAGUAUAUCGGAACGUGCCCUAGAGUGGGGGAUAACUAGUCGAAAGACUAGCUAAUACCGCAUACGAUCUACGGAUGAAAGGGGGGGAUCGCAAGACCUCAUGCUCCUGGAGCGGCCGAUAUCUGAUUAGCUAGUUGGUGGGGUAAAGGCCUACCAAGGCAACGAUCAGUAGCUGGUCUGAGAGGACGACCAGCCACACUGGGACUGAGACACGGCCCAGACUCCUACGGGAGGCAGCAGUGGGGAAUUUUGGACAAUGGGGGCGACCCUGAUCCAGCAAUGCCGCGUGAGUGAAGAAGGCCUUCGGGUUGUAAAGCUCUUUUGUCAGGGAAGAAACGGUGGUAGCUAAUAUCUACUACUAAUGACGGUACCUGAAGAAUAAGCACCGGCUAACUACGUGCCAGCCGCCGCGGUAA